rnacentral:rRNA from 1 species
GGUAGCUAAAUGCGGAAGAGAUAAGUGCUGAAAGCAUCUAAGCACGAAACUUGCCCCGAGAUGAGUUCUCCCUGACUCCUUGAGAGUCCUGAAGGAACGUUGAAGACGACGACGUUGAUAGGCCGGGUGUGUAAGCGCAGCGAUGCGUUGAGCUAACCGGUACUAAUGAACCGUGAGGCUUAACCUU